rnacentral:piRNA from 1 species
GAGUGCUCUGUUUUAAUGGGCUCGACC